AGCUAGGAGACUCACCUCGAUAGUGCGUAGCGGGUAGAGUGACAGGGACGCUACAAGACGGACAAUGAGCACAAGCACCUCAAAUAGGGUCUAUUUUCGCUGCACCAAACUAGAUGGACGAAGCUAGAUGGUCCAGAUUAUCUUUCAGCUCUGUGCCAGGGCCUUGUGCUUAAGCUUAUUGUGAUAGCAUCAACGCUGCCUUAUAAUGAUGUUUUUUGUCAUAGUGACGUUGGAAAUGUAGGCUUACCUGUGGCUUAUUUUGGUCUUCUUAACAAAGCUUAAGACAUCCUUUUCCAUGAGGAGGUGGUGCGAAUUUCACGGGGCCGUGUGCCAAAUCGUGUUUAAGCUAUGGAUGUCGGUGAGAUUCCAUCCAGGGUCAUGAUCAAGGCGGCAUUCAC